GAGGAAUAUUGGUCAAUGGACGGAAGUCUGAACCAGCCAAGUAGCGUGCAGGAUGACGGCCCUAUGGGUUGUAAACUGCUUUUGUAUGGGGAUAAAGUUAGGGACGUGUCCCUAUUUGCAGGUACCAUACGAAUAAGGACCGGCUAAUUCCGUGCCAGCAGCCGCGGUAAUACGGAAGGUCCAGGCGUUAUCCGGAUUUAUUGGGUUUAAAGGGAGCGUAGGCUGGAGAUUAAGUGUGUUGUGAAAUGUAGACGCUCAACGUCUGAAUUGCAGCGCAUACUAGUUUCCUUGAGUACGCACAACGUUGGCGGAAUUCGUCGUGUAGCGGUGAAAUGCUUAGAUAUGACGAAGAACUCCGAUUGCGAAGGCAGCUGACGGGAGCGCAACUGACGCUUAAGCUCGAAGGUGCGGGUAUCAAACAGGAUUAGAUACCCUGGUAGUCCGCACAGUAAACGAUGGAUGCCCGCUGUUGGUACCUGGUAUCAGCGGCUAAGCGAAAGCAUUAAGCAUCCCACCUGGGGAGUACGCCGGCAACGGUG
rnacentral:rRNA from 1 species